rnacentral:lncRNA from 1 species
CAACUGGCUCAUGAAAUAGAUCCUGGACUGGAUGGAGCCAGUUCAGAUGUUCACAGUCUGCUGCCUGAAAUGUUGCCUUGUAGUUGAGCUGGAAAGCCAAGGCCUCCUCAACCACAUUCCCACUGAUGAUCUUACACCAAGACGAGGGACUGUUCAUCUACCAACACAUCUGUGGGAAUUCUUCUGAACCUGGUGGUUAUCUUCCGGGAGCACAACCUGUUGGGGAGAGAAAUUGCCAUCGUAUAAUUUCACUCUUAACACCAGUGCAGGAAGUCAGAACAUAGAUGGCAUUUUCCAGGGAGAAUGCUAAUAAAUGGUUUUUAUAGGUAUAUUUUUUUUUGUUGCCGUAUUUAUAUUAGAAAAGGAAGGCAGAA